rnacentral:rRNA from 1 species
CACGUAGGGGGCAAGCGUUGUCCGGAAUGACUGGGCGUAAAGGGCGUGUAGGCGGUCCUAAAAGUCAGAUGUGAAACACCUGGGCUCAACCCAGGUAUUGCAUUUGAAACUCUAGGACUUGAGCGCAGGAGAGGAGAGUGGAAUUCCCAGUGUAGCGGUGAAAUGCGUAGAUAUUGGGAGGAACACCAGUGGCGAAGGCGACUCUCUGGCCUGACGCUGACGCUGAGGCGCGAAAGCUGGGGGAGCGAACGGG